rnacentral:lncRNA from 1 species
AUAGAAAUUGCUAAGGCAACCUAAAAUGUAAACAUGUUCCGCCCAAUGCUCCCUAGCUAGUGCUUAGAGAUAUAAAAAUAAAUCAGACCCUGAGACUUCUCAGAGGGAAACUGCACAUUGCUUGCAAAGGUUCUUUUCUCACUCGCCGGCCCGAGACCUCUCCCCUUCCUACCCUGCAUCGACUGCAGCUGGUCUGCGGCAGGUGGCGCCCAAUGCGGGGCAGAUACUUUUCCUUCAGCACCCACAGAGGAAACUCCAUUGUUAAAGACUAAAAAAUCUCCUUCCAUUUAUGGUGUAAUAGAAAAUGAAAAUGAUUCAGAUGAGCUUUUGUCUCCUUCCAAGGAGAAGGAUUUAGAGGAACAAGCAGCUCGAUAUCACGAUCCUGAUUGGCCACCUUUGCAGUCCACAGCUUUGUGCAGCCCUAAAAAAUCUAAAGGUAAGGCUCGCCAGCAACAUUUUCCUCCACCACCAAAUCAGGUCGGCUUUGCAGGAGCUGUUCGUGAAGCUGCUGCAGCGAGCGAUGCCACUUUCUCCUGCUUUCCUGUCAUCUUUGAUGCAGACUGGGACUAUGAGCCGGUAUGGGAACCUUUACCUUUUAAACUACUAAAAGAAAUUAAAGCCACUGUACAUUCUUACAGGACUUCCUCUCCCUAUACUAUGACUCUACUAGAAACCUUAGGAGGGAACCUGCACAUUGCUUGCGAAGGUUCUUUUCUCACUCACUGGCCCGAGACCUCUCCUGUUCCUACCCUGCAUUGACUGCAGCUGGUCUGCAGAAGACAUGUUUCUCCAGGUUGCCCUCUGUAGAAUCCCCACUCCCAUUGAUGCUAAUAAUGGUUGGAACAUUGACCCAAUAGGCAAUUUGGGCUCCUUUUGGAGACAGAUCUGUUAUUGUCUGGAACUAGUGGAAACUGAG